UGGAUAGAAAAAUAUGCUUCAUGUGGGGCGAAAGAAACUUCGAUUAAAUCUGUUCUGCAGGCGUUGCCGGUGUACGCCAUGAUCUUUAAAUUCCCAGCAUCACUAUGCGAGGAGAUGUCGCAGAUGAUUAGAAAUUUCUAGUGGGGUGAUGAGGAGAAUAGGAGGAAGACUCAUUGGCUGGCCUGGGAUAAAAUGACUAGGCUUAAAUGUGAGGGUGGUAUGGGUUUCCGCAAUCUUGGAUUAUUUAAUCAGGCUCUCCUAGCUAAGCAGGCUUGGAGACUGGUGGUUAAUCCUGACUCUCUGUGCGCCAAAGUGAUCAAGGCAAAAUAUUACCCCCCCCAAGGGCAUAUUCUAGACAAUGCUUUUCCAUAG
rnacentral:rRNA from 1 species